GAAUUGCGAUAACUAGUGUGAAUUGCAUUACUUUGUGAAUCAUCGAGUCUUUGAACGCACCUUGCACUGACUGGCCCUCCAGUCAGUAUAUCUGUUUGAGUAUCGUGACCCUCCUACUAGUUUAGGCUAGUGAAGUGGACUGCUAUCGAGAGAUAUAGUCUUGAAAGGAUUUUUCUCAAACGAGGCUGCCUACCCGAGCGAGCAGCUGUGACAAGUGCCUAGUGCCUUUGAAGCGAGCGAGUGAGUGAGGAGUGGGCGCUUCGUUGAGGGCAAAGUGGGGGAGGCAGUGAGUGUGCAUAUGUAUGCUCGUUGCUUCAACCAACACCAAUCAUACCGAUCUCAAAUCAGACAAGAUUACCCGCUAAACUUAA
rnacentral:misc_RNA from 1 species